rnacentral:rRNA from 1 species
UACGUAGGGGGCAAGCGUUGUCCGGAUUUACUGGGCGUAAAGCGCCUGUAGGCGGCCUGUCAAGUCCGGCCUGAAAGCCCCCGGCUCAACCGGGGAGGGUGGCUGGAAACUGGCAGGCUUGAGGGCGAGAGAGGAGGGUGGAAUUCCUGGUGUAGCGGUGAAAUGCGCAGAUAUCAGGAAGAACACCCGUGGCUAAGGCGGCUCUCUAGUACGGUACUGACGCUGAGACGCGAAAGCGUGGGGAGCGAACAGG